rnacentral:lncRNA from 1 species
GUUAACACAGAGGAAGAGAUUCAAAGGCUUAGGCAGGAGACUGGGUUGCUACAGUGGAUUUGUCACUUAAAAUCUACUUAUUUACACUGGGUGAGUCCAGAUCACAUACUUUUCAGCAGUACUUUGAGAAACAGAUUUGUGAGGAGAACCCCAUCAUCCCUAAAUGCCAUGAUUGCCCUUCUCUGUAGGCCGGACCUUAAAAUGGAAACUGCAGUCACUCAAUUGAAAAAUUUAAAUGCAAUGGGAAUAACUGGAUUCCAGGGUAGCAGAGGCCAAGUGAAGGGACUCAUUUGACAAAGGCAAGGUGGACAUGGUUAUCAUAACAGACAGCAGAAGCAAAGCAACAGUCAGAAUAGUCUGACUCAUGUAGACCUGUGGCAUUGACUAAUUCACUGUAUGGGCAGCUCACUGUCUAUUUUCUUCUCCCUUCCCACCUAGUCUGUCUUGGCCUACUACAAUUUAAAUUAUCUGAGGUUGGGGAUUUUGUUUAAUGAUUGCUGUAUCUCCAGUGUCUAGAUUAGUGCCUGAUACUGGGUAAGCAUUAGAGAAUGGAUGCCUAAUAUAUA